GAUGAACGCUGGCGGCGUGCUUAACACAUGCAAGUCGAACGAUGAAGCCCAGCUUGCUGGGUGGAUUAGUGGCGAACGGGUGGGUAACACGUGAGUAACCUGCCCUUGACUCUGGGAUAAGUCUGGGAAACUGGGUCUAAUACUGGAUAUGACUUCUCAUCGCAUGGUGGGGGGUGGAAAGAUUUAUUGGUCUUGGAUGGACUCGCGGCCUAUCAGCUUGUUGGUGAGGUAAUGGCUCACCAAGGCGACGACGGGUAGCCGGCCUGAGAGGGUGACCGGCCACACUGGGACUGAGACACGGCCCAGACUCCUACGGGAGGCAGCAGUGGGGAAUAUUGCACAAUGGGCGCAAGCCUGAUGCAGCGACGCCGCGUGAGGGAUGACGGCCUUCGGGUUGUAAACCUCUUUCAGUAGGGAAGAAGCGAGAGUGACGGUACCUGCAGAAGAAGCGCCGGCUAACUACGUG
rnacentral:rRNA from 1 species